GCCACAACCCCAUGAGAGAGGUUUGGUACUUCCUUAAUUUUAGAGAUUUCCUAAUUCUGAGGUUCAGAGAGGUCAUAUGUCUUCCCCACAUAGGUCAUCAGAGAGCUGGAAGCCAAGUGCCCUCCUCCACGUUCUCUCUACUGUGCCAUGUGGCUUGUGUUGAUACAGACCCUUGGGCUGGACCAAUCCUGGAAGAUCAAGAGCUGACUGGAAGUUCCUGAACACUCCCAGGAAGCCUGCCCUUGCAAGAUAUCGCCCUUCAUUCCUUGACUUCGAUGCUCCACUGGGAUUCUGAAAAGCUUCAAUUCACUGAUACACAUCGGCGGGAGCUGCUGAGCCAUUUAAGCUUUGACUAUCUCUACUUGAAAGGCAUGAGAUAAAGUUUUCCACUGCUGGAGAGGAGAGCAUGUAAGUGGCUUAGGCUCGCAACCAAUCACACUCCCUCAGCAACCCUGAGAGGGUCCUUGAAUGUUAAUUUCGUGAUUCAAAAUGAGUGGAUCAUCAACCUUCGGGAAAUUCAUUCAUCAAACAUACACUAGGUCCCUACUAUGCACCAGGCACUAGGGAGGACAAAUGAAGCUGCAGGAAAUGCCAGAGGUUUCCUCUGCUGCUUCCACACAUCACAAAGCACAUCAUCAGCUCAUACAUGGACGUGGUCUAGGCAAAUCCAAUAUCCCUAUUCUAUUUCCACUGGGCAAAGCACUCUGUGCAUCUGGGCAGAGUCAGCGGCCAAAGCCGCUCAGGAGCUCCAGGGACCACCCCCUUCCUGGGUCUGCUUCCUCCAUUUCCCUAAGGUAAAUCUUCUUUGGCAUCCAAAGCCUGUGGUUCCAAGAAGCCACAGGUCAAAACAAGCACUAGUGUGCCAGGUCACCUCUGUUAUUCCCAGUGUCGGAGAACCAUGCUCCUGCAAAGAUCUUUUCUAUGGAACCCUCGAUGGCUUCUGCAGAACUUGGAAGUAGUAACUAUGAGGGCUCAGAUCAGCCACUCAGCCUAGACCAGACUUUGGCUUUGGGGAUGGUAUUGCAAUUAAGUAUGCAAUAUGGUUUUUUGCUGAUAAUCCCCUUGCUGCUGCUGGGAGGCAGAGGCAAAGCUGCUUCUUACUAGAGAGCUUUCUUUUUAAUUUAAAACUGGACUCUUAAAGGAACAACUAACUCUUUUUGUAUGUACUGAACAUUUAGAAACUAACAUUGUAAAGGAUAAAUUUUGAACACAAAGGUCAAAUAGUUUCAUCUUAUAGAAUCUUGGAAUAGCCUGUCUGGCUAGGUGUGGGUGUGGGGAGGAGGAUUAGUGGGGAAGAAUUGCUAAGAAUCAAAGGGGAAAUAGAGGGAGCUGAGGAUGGGAGAAGGAGGAGGCAAACUCAGGAAGGAUUCUAAUUGUCCUGAGGGCCAGCCUUGUCGACGGCAACUUCUCUGAAGGUACCCAGGGAUGCUGAAUGGCCUAACAGGAGGAAUCUGCUGGAACCCUAGGUUAGAGUUAAUGCUUGUAAGAGCUAAUACUUAGGGUGCACUAUUCUAAGUUCUUUGCCUGUAUUAAUUAAUUUAAUCCUCAUGACAAUCCAGUGUGAUUAAUUUUAUCAGUAGUAGUACCAUUUUCCAGAUGAGGAAACAGAGGCAGAGAGAGGGUAAGUUAUUUUCCCAAGUCUCAGAGCUGGUGAGUGCUGCAGCUGGGAUUCAGAGCCAGGGAAUCAGCUCAAAAGUCUGUGCUGAUAACUGUGGUUCUAGGAAGAGGUCCAGGAAUGGGUCCACCCAGAUCCAGCUCGAUGACCUGGGCCAGUUACUUGGACCCUGGAUUUGUUUUCACCUAUACACUGGAGGAGGGGUGGAGAAGAAUGAGUUGUGGUGAAGAGUAAAUGAGAUAGUGUGAGGGAAGAGUGCCUUGUAGGCUGGAGGGCUCUGGACACAUGUUCGUUGUGGUUAUUUAGUUUUCUACUGGGAGAGGAGAGGAGGCAGAGAGAUUGGCUUUUCCGAGGAACACCCAGCUGGUGCCCCAGAGACUCCAGGAUCCUUGGAGAGCCACUGAAGCUAGAGAGGAGAUGAAGGAGGCAGGACAGAAGGACUACAGGGAGGAGAGGAGAGGCUGGCAUUCGACCCAUUUCAGGGGUCUAUUCAGAUGCAGAGAUGGGGUUGAUGUGCCCACUUCCCAGCCGUCUUGGGGCCUCGGGACGUUGCACUGAAAUCAGUCACAGGAGCUCCUAUGCUGAGCUGGGCUCGGGCCUGCUAUCCUCACCCCUGAGGUUUCCAGAUGCUGCCCUAGGGCCCUUCCUCUAGCCCAGUUUGCUCUUCUCAACCCUCCUUCGCAUUCAUUUCCAAGACCAAAGAAAGCUCAGCCUGCAGCAGGACUCACAGCACUGUGUGUUGUGUUGUGUCCUUUCUCUUUUAUAUUUGCUGCAUUAUCACUCCCUCUCUGUCCGGAGAGCUCACCCAGCACAGGGAACUUGCUUAUUCCCAGAACGAGGCAGGGCCUUUCCUUGGGCAAGCCCUGGACACGUGUUUGUUGAAUGGAAUUCAGGAGCAGUCUGGGAGGUGGCCAGAGCCCUCCUUCCAGCUCCACUGUGUGGCUGUGGGUAAGUACAGGGAUCUCUGUGAGUCACAGUCUCCUCCUGAUGAAGACGGUUGGAUUGGACAACUCCGAGGGCUCCUUCAGCUCUGACUUUCCCAGGGUUCCAGAGAUGGAAGGGCCCGAGGUAUCUAAGAGGCUGUACACAUCAUUGCUAUGGUCUCAGUGGGCCAGACUGUAAGCCCAGCCCUUGUCGUCAAUGCCUGUUGAUUCCCACAGGUGGCUCUGAGGAGUCAUUUAGGACCCUGAGUGGGCAGAAUUAACACCAACUUUAUUCAUCUGGCAACAAGAAUUUGGUUGGCAAUAAAUUGCUUCUCCAGUGAGAGCAUAAUCACUUCUCAUCAGAUUAGUCCUCGCCAGGAGCUGUUCUGAAAUCCUUUCCAUGUCUGAUGCAUACAGCUCUGACUCCGAAGCAAAAAAAUGAAAAACAAAUGAGAUGAAAGAAUGAUGAAUUUGAUAAAGGGCAACGAUACCUGGGGGCUUUUCCUCCUGCAGAGAAGCUUGGAAGCCGGGGGUGGGUGACAGGUCAUUCGAAGAAGUCUGAGGGGGUGGGGUCAGCUGCUCCCCCACAGUCUCACUCCUAGGUUGCAUGAAAGCGAGUCUCAGAGCCAGUUUCUCCACACACAGACAUUUACACCCUGGCAAAGCAGGCAACCCAGCAGUUCCUACAACCUGUUCUGUGAGUCCAGGGAGGUCCCGGCUGUCUGUCCUUUUACAUCCAACCUCACCCUGUGUGAGGAUCACUUGAGGUAGACAUAACAAAAUUCCAGACAUGAGAUUUCUGUGUUCGUGUCAACAUCAGACAAGCAGAAAGCCUCCUAAACCAGUGGCCAGAGCCAGAGCCCUGCAUCAUGGUCACAGGUACAGGCUUCCCUGAGUUCUUCGGUCCUACUCAUGCAAAUGUCUCUGAAGUAUUUUCAGCUGGUCCCCAAAUCCUGAGCGCCUUUUAUUUCACCAAUGAAAGCUUGCUGGGGUCUGAAUGUUUGUGUCUCCACCAAAUUCAUGUGUUGAAAUCCUAAUCCCCAAGGUGAUCAUAUUAUGGGAAGUGGGGCCUUUGGGAGGUGAUUAGGUCAUGAGGGAAGCGCUUCCAUCAGUGGCACUAGCACCCUCAUAAAGAAGACCUCAGAGAGCUCCCUUCCCCUUCUGUCAUGUGAGGUCACAGCGAGGAGAAGACCAUCUCAGAACCAGAAGCUGGACCUCACCAAGCACUGAACCGGCUGGCGCCUUGGUCUUGGACUUCCCAGCCUCCAGGGUGUAAGAAAUAAAUUUCUGUUGUUUGUAAGCUA